CAUAUACUCCCUACGUCCAGAAAUACUUGUCAUCAAAAUGAAUAAAAAAGAAUGUAUCUAGACAUAAUAAAAAGGUCUAGAUACAUCCUCUUUUAUUCAUUUUGAUGACAAGUAUUUUCUGACGGAGGGAGUAAUAA
rfam:Triticum aestivum genome assembly, contig: Triticum_aestivum_CS42_TGACv1_scaffold_049801_1BS